AUUGAACGCUGGCGGCAUGCUUUACACAUGCAAGUCGAACGGUAACAUGAAGAAGCUUGCUUCUUUGAUGACGAGUGGCGAACGGGUGAGUAAUGUAUCAGAACGUGCCCAGUAGUGGGGGAUAACUACUCGAAAGAGUGGCUAAUACCGCAUGAGAUCUCUGGAUGAAAGGGGGGGACCGCAAGGCCUCACGCUACUGGAGCGGCCGAUAUCAGAUUAGGUAGUUGGUGGGGUAAAGGCCCACCAAGCCUGCGAUCUGUAGCUGGUCUGAGAGGACGACCAGCCACACUGGGACUGAGACACGGCCCAGACUCCUACGGGAGGCAGCAGUGGGGAAUUUUGGACAAUGGGCGCAAGCCUGAUCCAGCAAUGCCGCGUGCAGGACGAAGGCCUUCGGGUUGUAAACUGCUUUUGUACAGAACGAAAAGGCUCUGGUUAAUACCCGGGGCUCAUGACGGUACUGUAAGAAUAAGCACCGGCUAACUACGUGCCAGCCGCCGCGGUAA
rnacentral:rRNA from 1 species